GGGCUUCUGGUGACGUCAUUUUUCCUGUUGGUUCAUUAGAUGAUUACAGCGAAGACAUUCCCAUUGAAGGCGAGGAUGAUCUAGAAGAUGAUGCAGAACCGAAAAAUGAAAACCGGUCCUCAUGAAUGUGAAUAAUGUUUUCAAUCAACCAAGAGGUUUAUUAGUGCAAAAAGAUUGUUGGCAAUAUCUUGCUAUGCUAUGAGGCUUUAAUUAUUUGAGAAGUUGGCAACUUGGUUUAAUGGCCCACACUUUUCCAACUCGCAUCAGCAGAGGAGAGCACCUAUUCAAGUUGUGGGCUUUUGUUGAGGUUUCUUUCAUUCUUUCUAAAAUAAUGUAUAAACAUCAAAUAUUAUAUCAACCCGAAUCAAAUGCCUAAUUGCGUACCGUUAGUUUUCUUUUCCUCUCCAACUGCCCCCAAUUUCUAAUCCCUCAACUAACAGCUAAUUUCUAAAUCUCUAACAAAAUAACUUUGCCUUCUCCAAUCCAACACCCACCGGCCACCCCCAUCGUCGUUCACCAGUUAGGCAGUCACCACCGUUCCACCAUCAUCGUUCUCCAGUCAGGUAGUCACCAUCGGUCCACGCGUCACCACCCAUCAAUCUCUUUCAAGCCAUCAGAAAUGGGGAAUUUUAGGUCUUACAAGGAAACUAGAGGGUAGGGUGUACGGUGGACAAGGUUUAAAAUGAGUGGCAAUUUUGGUAAUAGUGGAAUGAAUGAGAACUAGAACAAGAUCUUUCUGUCUCGGUCAUUUUGCUAUCAAAUUUGACUGGAAUCACAAGCAUGUGAGAAUGAAUGAAGCAAUGAAUACUUCAGAGAUUGGAGUUCAAAAGCCUGAUUCUGCCAGUGCAAAACUGAAGUGGAAUUGGCAGUGAAAAAGAAGUAGGAAGUUGCAAUGAUGGCUUUCGGCUUACUGUUUUCCUCAAAUCUGACAUCUACAUCUACCCCCAUUUGUUAAGUAUCUCUUCAAUCUACAUCUAGCCCCAUUUAUUUGCCAUUUCUCUCUAUCUCUCUCGAUCUCCCUCUUUUGUUUUCUUUUUCUUCCUCUUUUCUUCUGCUUUCAUAACAAAUCUUCAAAUAUUAAUGAAUUUGGUUUACUGUUUCCCUCUUUUUCUGUUUUCCUCUUUUGUAUAUAUUAAUGAAUUCAGGUCUUCCUGACAUUCUAGGUUAUAGUUUAUUCUUAAUGGAACUUUGGGUAUGUGGUAAAUAUUUUCAUUUUGGGGAGUAAAUUUUGGUACAGAAAUUGCAUAUUAGUCCAACAUCAUCUGUGUAUUCAAUUGAAUGUGUUUUCCGUCUUUUAAGGGUAUUGCUUAUUGAUUCCUCAAUGAAGAUAUCUUUCACUCACUGCAUUAGAGAUGGAGAUUUGAUUAUUGCAUAUGAGAGGCAUGAUACUAUGAAAGCUGUUAAAGUGUGCGAGAAUUCGGUUCUUCAAAAUCGUUUCGCUGUAUUUAAACAUUCAGAUUAGAUCGGGAAGCCAUUUGGUUCUAUAAUUUUCAGUGACAGAGGUGGAUUCGUUUACCUAUUGGCUCCGACAUCGGAGUUAUGGACUUUGGUUCUAAGUCAUAGGACUCAGAUUCUUUAUAUUGCGGAUAUUAGCUUUGUGAUCAUGUACUUGGAAGUAGUUCUGGGAUGUUUGGUUCUUGAAUCCGGGACCGGUAGUGGCUCAUUAACAACAUCGUUUGCAAGGGCUGUGGCUCCAACGGGACAUGUGUAUACCUUUGAUUUCCAUGAACAGAGGGCUGCCUCAGCUAGGCUGAGGGAUUUCCUGAUCAGAUUUCUGGGUUGGCUGACUCCGUAUUUCUGGACCUACCGCAACCUUAGCUAGCCAUUCCUUCAGCUUGAAACAUGUUGAAACAAGAUGGAACUCUGUGUUCCAUCUCACCGUGCAUCGAACAAGUUGCACGUUCAUGUGAAACUCUUAGAUCUGACUUUACAGGUGACAUAUUAGAAACAAGUUACGCUAUCUUGUUCAAGCAGUUUUUCCUUUAAAGCAUCAUGAGCUUUGCUUGUAAUAUGCACAGAUAUAUAUGGACGUUUGAAAUACUGCUCCUCAUGUAUGAAAUCCAUGAAUGGAAAAUGGAUCACUCGAAGCUUUUGUGUAACCACGUGCCAACAAAACACACUUGCUACAGCAGGAUAUUGAAAUCCCACCCUUCAUCGGAUUGUAAUUUCAGGACAUCGGCCAUUCAUAUUAACCCAAGAUAUGAGCAUUGCUGGGAAGGAGUCUUUGAGGGGCAUGCGGUUUAAAUAUGCUAUGGAAUCUGAUGAAGAUCCACAACCAUCGGUAAAAGAGAAACCAUCAACUACUGACGAGGAAUAUGAAAAGCUAGGGGACACUUGCACUUUUGGAGUAUAUCACAGUCAGCCAUUUGAUGUCAUUUGUUCACCAGUAUGAGCAUCUUCCUCAGUUGUUACUAGCCUUUCUAGUGAAGAGACAGCUGAAGGAACCAAUAUAAGCAUUAUUGAGAAGGAAUGUUGGAUUCAGAAGCAAUUUUCAGCUUUUGUUUGGGCCAGUGGAGAUCAACAGUCAUGGAGAAAAGGGAAACCAUUGACCACUGAAGUUGCAGUUUUGAAAGAUCAUGUCCCUAGUUUGAAGUCACUGGAGAUCAACAGUCAUGGAGAAAAGGGAAACCGUGAACCUGAGAUCAUGUCCCUAGUUUCGAGUUAUAGAUUUAUUAACCCCAUCUCCCUGCUAUAGAGUCAGGCCAUGCACCAAGAAAAGAAGAAUUUCCAAGUUUUCUCCCGAGAUCAUAGAUCUCACUUGAGCUUUGUCUGAGCAUAGAAUGUUGGGCAUGAAUUAACAGGAGGAUUAAGCGGGCCACAAGAGUAAUUGUUUUAUCCCUUAAAUCAACUGUAAGGUCUGGGUAGGGAAUUUUAUUCAUUUCUACUAUGAUAAUGACCCGUUCUGCUUUAAUGCUAAUUGAUCAGAUUAGAAGUAAUUGUUUUCAUCCAAUACUACAAUCCUGCCUAGCUGAUGAUGAGGAAAUUACUUCAUUUUAUAUUGUCUUACCUCCGAUCAGGCCAGCUUCCUUCCCAUCAUUCGAAAUUUAAAUCCUCAAAUAUAUCUAUUCAAUUCAUAGCUCCCUCAUUUCUUCACCAAUUCUCUCUCACUCUAGCUUUCUUUUCAAUUAUUUCCUGUCAUUCUUUUUUAGCUUUGGGUAACAACAGGCCAAAAAAAACAUGCUACAGUAGGAAGAGAGUUUUCGUGAGAGAGAAGCCCUAAGUUUUCUCUGGCGUUUCUAGUUUCUGUGAUUUUUUAAAUCCGCUGCUUCAUCUGAGACGUAAAUGAACACAUAAUGUUUUUCUUGGUAAAACCUUUGUUUCUAUUGUAGAAAUCUCCUGUUUCCCAAUUUCUCAAUGAUCUCUCUCCUAUAAUGCCAUCCAGAGCGAGAGCAUCACUGUAGAUGAAAUUGGUGGGUCAAGUUCAAAUGGUCGCAACCAAGAUGAUUCUCUGAUCAAACAUGGUGAAUUCUGGGCUCAACAUGAUGAACUACAUGGUGCUUGUUUCAAUGCCUCGGAAGUGACCACAGGAAAAACUAAUGAUAACACGAAUGAUGGCAUGGUUGAGAUUUCCAAUGAUGAAAGGUUUGGAUUCUCAGCCCUCUUCCCUUGGUGGAAAUCAGGCCACGUUAAUUCAGCUCCCAUCUCAUAUUCUACCGUUAAACCAUGAUCCCUUGAUCUCACCAGCUGGGAGAGUCGGUGAUCAUGUUGAUAAUGAUCACCAUGGAGUUCGACCAUUAAACCCUGAUCCCUUGAUCUCAUCCGCUAGGAGAGUUGGUGAUCAUGUUGAUAGCGACCACCAUGACGUUGUGCACCAGAAAAUAUGGAGGAUUCUCCGAAAGUGUCAUGUUUUCACCAGCUCAUAAUCCCUUAUGAACAUUUUGCUGACAGGGUUGACCAACUAUCCAAAUCCCAAGAUAGCUGAAAAGGGGAGAGGCAAGUUUCACAUUGCUUUCUUAGCUGUGGGAUUUAUUGAAUUCAGGAAUAAACAUUCCCAGAUGAGACUGAAGCCUGGAAACACUGCAACUGUAGAAGAUCCAGAUGUUUGAAACUACUUGGCAAUGGUGUUUUGGCAUUUCUCCCAGCUUUAGGAGGUCUGGAGUAUGUAAGUAGAGAAUCAUGCCUGAUGUUAUUUAUAUUACUGCUCUGAAUUGGUCCCAGUUCCCAGAAGCAAUUUGAUUUAAAGCAUCUGCUUAACCAAUAAUUGUGUUUCUUCAAAAAAGCUUUUGGUAUUUUGCUGCUCUCUCCUUGAAAUAUUGGAUCAACUGACAUGUUCGUUUUGAAAUUGGAUGCUUAGGAUUUGUUUGGCCUAGAUGUUUUAUAAAAAACUGUUGUUCAAGUAGAUCACUUUAGUGCUGUAAAAGAUAAAAUAAAAAAUAUUUAAAAAAAACCUAAACUUUAUUAAAUUGAGGGUUUUGUUGAUACAAUAUAAGAAUGUGGCAAGAAGGUUGGAGGCAGUUCACUCGAUGGGCCGAGAGUUGUAAGUGGUAGUAGAUAGGUUGGUCCAUUCUUGUUAUGAGGUUUGAGGGGAGUAUUUAAGGGGAACACUUAUAAGCCAUGUUUUAUAAAAAACCAGUAUCCCAAUUGUUAAGUCAACCAUCAGUAAAUCGGCACAUAUGAAUGCUCAUUAUAUUUAUCCCUCCAAAGCUUGAGGAAUGUCAGUAAUUAUUUAUAACAUUCAUAAGUUAUACAAUGCUUAUCCUUUAGCUAGGUAUGCAUGGAAGUGAGCUUGUCAUAUGUGGCGAGUACCUUUCAACCUAACUGUGCGGUUAUUGAUUUAUAUUUAUAUUACAUAUACACAAAUUUAUAUUUAUCACUGCCCUGCUUCAGACCUAACUGUGCGGUUUACACAAAUUUAUAUUAAAUAUAAUUUUACAUAAAUUUUUCACCCGAUGCAAAAAGGCAACAAACUAGGGUUAGUGAUUAUAUUUAUGUUAAGUUCUCACUUAACCCGUUUGCCUCUGGCAUCUUCCCUCAUGGCUUAGAAAGAAGCUGCCCUUGCUGCUGCUCCCUCUGAUUCUACUACCAUGUCAGCCCAGGCCUAUGUUUCUCCUCCUCCUCCUAUUCAUCAAUUUCUUAUUUUUGAAAAAAAGAAUUCUUUUUUUUUUUUAGAAUAAUUCUCGACAGUAAAUGUUCCUUCCCUUUUCACUUCGAUGUGAAUUACCGGGACAAGGAAAUUGCAGCUACCGUGGUGUAUGAAAAUGAUAAGGUGAUGCUCAUUUUAUAUAUAUUUUUUGUAUUUGUUUCUUAAAACAAAUUUCCCUCAACCAAAUUCUGGUCGUGACCUGGAACUUGGUCUGGCUUUUAACAAUUCAAAAGGAAUCCAUGGUGUGAAUUGAGGGUCCAUCGAUAGUGCUGUAACAACUGGUGUAUAGCCAGUGUCCACUGACAAUGCAGUGACCCCCAAUGUCAAGCCAGAAUCACCUGGGAAGAUCCGGUUCUAAUCCAGGAUUUCAGGUGGAAAGGAAACUAGAAGUUGAUGACCCAAGUGAAGUGCUACAAAUUAUGCAGAUGCAGUCUAUUGGUAUAUAUUUUUUAAUCUAAUCAUAGCUUGAGUUGUAAAACCCUCCUUAAAGUGGGGGGAAGAACGUCAGUUGAGCAAAUGUUUGAAAAAGAAUCCACUCAUGAUAAUUUAUGCACUGGCAUCUUGUUGAUAUUUCCCUACCCAAUCAAGAUAUCCAAGUGCAAAAAAAAUGCAAAAUGUAUGAAGGAAAGCUUUGUCGUAAGAUCUGUGAUUAACUUGGAAAUAUAGUCAUGGAAAUGACUGCAUAAAUUGGAAUUGCCAGUUGAUCUUUUGCUUUCGAUAAGAA